UUAAGACCUAAAUUCACAGAGGGAAAGAGGUUUCAAAAUCAAAUCAGAAUAUCACCUGGACAUGGGCAUGAUCUUGUUUCCUUGAAGAUCAGAUUAAUCAAUUAUUUCAUUCAUUUAUUUACUCACUUAAUCAAAAAAUAUGCUGAGUAUUGAAUCUGUGGCAAAAGGCAAUAAGCUUUAGAUAUGAAGCUGGACCUCCAGGUAGCAGGUGUGAAUUUUGAAGAUAUGUUUAACAGCAAUGAACCUCUCACUAUUAACAGUGAAAGAGAAAGUCGAAGCGUUUUCAGGUGACGUUACCUAAGAUCCAUGAAGCUCCUGAAAUUAUUUGCAAAAUGUUAUGCUUUGGGCCAUUUUUGGGGGAAGAAGAUCCAUAACUUUUGUCAGACUUUCAAAGGUACCUGUGACUCCCUAAGAUAAGAAUCACUGAUCUGGUCUUAUACCUCAUUCAACCCAGGAAUACUUUCUAUACUUUUUCAUGGCAAGUGACUCCCAUUUGGUACCUAUUCUCGUGUCAAACAACUCUAAAUUUUGGAUAUUCCUUCCCAUCCUGGGCUACCAUCAGCCUCCUUAGAACUCCUGAUGGUGGUUCUGCCCUCUCUGGAGUGACCCAAUCACUCCAACAUCUGAGAGGUCCCUCUACCCAAGGGGUAGAGUGAGGCCACAUCUCCUGUUCCCGUACAGGUGCUAUGACCGCAGCCUGGUCCCUAGAGCCUAAAUUUGGCCCCUCUAAGAUCCCCCUGGAUUCCAGGCUUCACUCAACUGCUUCAGCUGUGGUUUCCCUCUUCAACUGGUUUCUGCCACUUGAGGAUUUCCUUUUUUUUUUUUGCUCAAGGGCAGCCUACAUUAAAACAAUUAUUUUUUAUUAUAGUUUACCCAACACUUACAUCAAGUUAGAUGUGCCUAGUGCUUUCCACCACGUGUCAAUCAAUUUGUUUCAAGACUUCCUAUGUUAGACACAGAAAAGGGCAAAGAUGCAAAGACAAAGGAGACUCCAGCCUCACGGUCCUCUAGAUGGGCAAGCAGGAGGACAUGACUCCCAUAAAAAAGGAGAGGUUGAGGGUUUACUGUUUACUGAUCACGUACUGGGGGCUGGUUCCGUGCUCAGUGCUCUACAGAGAUUAUCUCUAAUUCUCCCAACUCUGCAAAGUAGGGAUCAUUCCCAUUUUAUAUAAUUAGACACUGAGGCUCAGAGAGGUUGUGACUUGCCUGAGGCACUGCUCUUAAGUGACAUUUCUGGAAUUCGAAACCAGAUAUUCUAGCCCUGAUGAUGUCUGCAUUUUUCCACGACAUCAUGCUUCUAGAAGGUUUAAGCCAAGGUUGACCUUCAGUAGGCAGAUGAGAUGGGAGAGCAGCCUAGUCAGAGGGAAGAGACUGCUUGGAGGCAUGAGGGAGGGUGUAGGAAGGACAAACAAACCAGAAAGGCUGAAACACGAGGUUGGGGUGAGGGGUGGGUUGUAUUAUAACAGGAAACAAAACUGGAAAGAAAGUUUAACUCCAAAUUAAGGAAGGCUUAGACUUUCGUAAUCAGGAGUUUGUCUCAGAGAAGUGAAACCACCUGGCUUCCAUUUAAGAGGCUAAUUCAGUGGCAGUGUGGAGGUGAAAUAAAGAGAAGGGGGGACACUGGGGACGGAAAAGUGGGCAGCCCAGCUAGAUGCCCAUCGCGGUCACAGAGGAGAGGAGAGGAAGACAAGAACAUUGAGAGCCAUUUUUAAGACAAAAGGCUGAGAAAGGAAGAACUUGAAGGUGCUCAAGAUUUUGAGUCUGCGUGGCAGGCGGGAUUGGAAUGAACUGAGAAGGUGGGCACGGGAGGGGCAGGUUGGGAAGGGGCUAGAACCGCUGGACCCUGCUUUUGGAAUGCUGGGUCUGAAUGUGUUUAUAGCUCUUUUCAGACUGUUCCGUUAUCUGCAGAGUUUGAAGGACU